rnacentral:rRNA from 1 species
GACGAAGGAUCCAAGCGUUAUCCGGAUUCAUUGGGUUUAAAGGGAGCGUAGGCGGGUUUAUAAGUCAGUGGUGAAAGCCGAUCGCUUAACGAUCGAACUGCCAUUGAUACUGUAGACCUAGAGUACAGAUGAGGUUGGCGGAAUAUGACAUGUAGCGGUGAAAUGCAUAGAUAUUGGGAAGAACACCUGAGGCGAAGGCGGGUUGCUGGGCCGACACUGACGCUGAUGCGCGAAAGCCAGGGGAGCGAACGGG